ACUUUUUUUUUUUUUUUUUUUUUUUUUUUUUUUUUUUUUUUUUUUUUUUUCCGCGCUCGCUGCA
rnacentral:ribozyme from 13 species